rnacentral:misc_RNA from 1 species
GAAAGAAAAGGGCUAAUAGAUAAUAAUUAACUCCAGAAAGUUAACGGGUACCAAUUCAACAUCAGAUGAAAGAGAAUUUAAUCUCUGUUUUCUAUUAUUCAUCCUAUAAAGGAAACGAAAAAAGAGGAUAAAUAGUUUUAAAGCAAAACUGAAGCCUUUCUCAGAUCAUGUUGACUUCUUCAAGUGAACAGAGUUUUGAUAACUGUUAGUAGCAAUUGGUGAUUACUCCCACAGCUUGUUCUUUUUUGCACCUGUCUUAUCUGAAUUGUCCUGAACGUUAUCAACAACACAUAGUGUACAACCCCUUUCUUGGGGCUGUUCAUCACCGCAACUUCAUAAAAUUAGUUUCCUGAAAUAUCAUUGAACAGCCAUUUCUCAAAGAGAAUUGAUAUUACAAGCAAUGCAGCAUUUCGGUUAUGGAUAACCAAUGCAAGGUAAAAUGUCCAGAUUCCAGAAGAAAUUACCUGCCCCCAAGAAGGGAAGGCCCUGGUCCAACUCACAGUGAAAUGCUAUAUAAAUGAUCUAGAAGUAUGAUGAUAUGACAUCUUCAAAAAGGAACAGGUAUAGCCAGAUUUCACACACCAGACACUCUUAAUAUCACUCAACAUUAGUUGAUUUGGAAAGCAUUAAUCUGUACAUUAGGGCCCCGCGAUCUAAAACAUGUUGUUCCCAGUCUGAUCUCACUCCAAAAGGAUUCUCCUCAAGCCAUGCUUCAUCUAAAAGGGUGAGCCUACCCCGGCCAUAUUUUAGGAAUAAUUCUUUCAUCCUUACUGCAACUGCUUCUAUGUCAGAUUGCAGAAAUACCUUCCCAUCUUGUGCAAGCAGAUCUGUCACAGCUUCGAUCAAUGACCAUUGCAGCAUUCUCCAUCUGUGUUCUGGGUUGUCAAAAUCUGAAUUUGGGCACUGAAUGGAAUAAUAAUGGUCAUGUUAUGUUAUAAGUACAUCAAAGAAACUUAGCAGUUAAGACAGAAUAAGGAAUGAAACUACAAGCCCACUCAUCGACCACGAUUUCUGAGCUUCAUUGUCAUGUUCAGGAAACUAAUUAGGGUAAAAUUACCUUCUUUUCAACCUCCUCCAGUCACCAUUUUCUCUACUUCUCUUCAGAAUAAAGAGAUUACUAUUUACUAUUUUCUCAGCAUUCCUUUUAAUGUAAUACCUGGCCAUAAUAAAACCAACAGAUAAUAAAACAACACAAGAACAUUUAAGAUGAUGGGUAGUUCAGAACUAUUGGUUCUACCUCCUAAACAACAAUAUUAACUGUAACAAUUGUAAAAUUGAUGCAAGGUUUGUAGAUUGUUAUUUUCCAACUGGGGAGCUAAUAACGCAUAUUUUCUUCAAUUGCCAGUUUGAGGCACAAUUUGAAGCUUCAUAGGGUAAGUUACCAAAUUAUCUGACUACAAAUAACUUUUCAAAGGCACAAGUUUUUCUUGGAUAUUAAUCAUUCAACGAAGGAAGAGAUAAUGAGACAGAACCUUACCAAACAAAAUACCAUGAGCAGGAACCACUUCCAUUUGAUUUGGUCGGAGAUCAUUCACACACCAAAAAUAUGUAGUAUACAAAAUUGGAAUAUUUCUGUCAUGGGCAAAGUGAAGUAUGUCUAGUAUGUCUACAACAGCUUUAAGUGUCUCAGGCUCUAUCAAGCUUGAGGGAACAAAAUAUCCUAAGGCAUGCAUUAUUUGAAAUGACAUCAUUCCAAUAAAGACCAAUCCAUCACAUUUUGAAGCUAAAAAAUGCAAGGCAGCGGCUUUAUCAUAGAUAUUGCCCCCUCCAAU